UUUUCUAGUAGGAUUCCUAGGCAUGGGCAGGCUCCUAGCUAUAGCAAUGCUGUCUGAACAGUGGUUCAGAGGGUUGGUGACAAAUUCGAAACCUCUGGAAUCACUGGGAUUUGGAUACGCAGAGAACCAAGGUGAGACGUGUGCUGCUGCCUGGGGCACAGUGGCUCAAGGCUUGGGAUUUUGAGGGAACAGAAUCACUCACCGGGGCCUCUGGGACAGUGCCUAGGGGAGAAGGCUCAGGAGCAGUGCAGGACGUGUUUGUCCUUCCUCCAUUCUUGGAGAUUGCAUGGGGAUAUGGUGAAAACAUGGCUUUUACAAUAGCAUUUAAUUAAUUUUAGAGGCAGAGUCCCCUUCUGCCUACACUUCAGGCUUUUGGUUGGCUCUCUCCAGUCCACCCUCCCCACCACCAUUUUCUGUGCUUUCUCCUUACCUCCUGCACUUGUGCCUUCAACAGGUCUCUGAAAAGCUGGCAGAACCAUGAGAGGGGCCACAGCAGACCUUUGCAAUUUUUCAGCAAAUGAUAAUAAUUAUGCUAAAGUUAAAAGUUAAAUGUCAUGUAAGAAUGCGUGUAGGGUCUGCGUUGAACCAUAGGCACUCUUUGGUAGCCAUGGAUGUGUUAAAAAUGUAUUAGAUAAUGGAGCACCUGAGCAUAAAGGUUCUGUUCAACAGAGAGUGAAAUGUUAUAACCUAAAUAGGUGAUACUGUCUACAUAGCUCUUUUAGAAAGGAAAUUUUUGAAAGUUAGAGGAUGGAUCUCAAGGCUCUUAAAAGCCUUGGCUUGGUGUACCUGCUAUAUGAUGAGUUUCUGUUGGCCUUGACCUUCAAGAUACUUUUUAAAAGUAUUGUUCCUAGAAGGAAAGACAAUUGGAAGGGAUGAAAAAAAAAUUUAUUUGAUAAAAUUUAACUUUCUGAUUGGGGGUUAGGAUGCAGAUCUCUGAAGCGAAAACAGAAAGGGCUGGCAGGUUGUUGACAAGGAAAAGUUCAGGAAUGUCUCUUCUUACCCUCCAGGUCUCGGUCCAAGAAGGGUCAUGUGUCAUGUGUCUUGUUCUUGUCUUUUCUGCUUUUUGUGCCAAUUUUUUAAAAAAAAAAGGCAGAAAACAAAGAAGAUAUAUAGAAGAUAUAUGGAAUUCCAGUGAAUUGUAUUUUGGUGUAAGAUCGGUGUAUGCUGUUGAAAAUUAA
rnacentral:lncRNA from 1 species